GUGAUGUACUCCUACGGGAGGCAGCAGUGGGGAAUCUUCCACAAUGGGCGCAAGCCUGAUGGAGCAACACCGCGUGAGUGAAGAAGGGUUUCGGCUCGUAAAGCUCUGUUGUUAAAGAAGAACACGUAUGAGAGUAACUGUUCAUACGUUGACGGUAUUUAACCAGAAAGUCACGGCUAACUACGUGCCAGCAGCCGCGGUAAUACGUAGGUGGCAAGCGUUAUCCGGAUUUAUUGGGCGUAAAGAGAGUGCAGGCGGUUUUCUAAGUCUGAUGUGAAAGCCUUCGGCUUAACCGGAGAAGUGCAUCGGAAACUGGAUAACUUGAGUGCAGAAGAGGGUAGUGGAACUCCAUGUGUAGCGGUGGAAUGCGUAGAUAUAUGGAAGAACACCAGUGGCGAAGGCGGCUACCUGGUCUGCAACUGACGCUGAGACUCGAAAGCAUGGGUAGCGAACAGGAUUAGAUACCCUGGUAG
rnacentral:rRNA from 1 species